UUGAAACACUGGUUCCUGUAGGAUCACCAAAGUUAAGUGUUGUCAAGCCUGGUCAGUACCUAGAUGGGUGACUGCUUGGGAUUACCAUGUACUGUAAGC